UACAGAGGGUGCGAGCGUUAAUCGGAAUUACUGGGCGUAAAGCGUGCGUAGACGGCUAUCUAAGUCGGGUGUGAAAGCCCCGGGCUCAACCUGGGAAUUGCAUUCGAGACUGAAUAGCUAGGGUACGGUAGAGGGAAGCGGAAUUUCCGGUGUAGCGGUGAAAUGCGUAGAUAUCGGAAGGAACAUCAGUGGCGAAAGCGGCUUCCUGGACCAGUACCGACGUUCAGGCACGAAAGCGUGGGGAGCAAACAG
rnacentral:rRNA from 1 species